rnacentral:misc_RNA from 1 species
GUAAUUUGUUAAUUAAGACGAGGCCUGAGCCCCGAAUUUGACAUUCGGUAUACUUGUGGUUUGUGUGAGCGAGACGGCCCGGGCGCUAACCCAGACUCCAUCCCGAAAAAGUGCACAGUGGUUUGAGUUUGGACGAGGCGGACGGGCGUCGGCAUCACGGCGUCUCCACCGGCGCGCGACGUACCCGAACUCCCCUAGAAGUUUCAAUAAUGAUCCUUCCGCAGGUUCACCUACGGAAA